GUUAAAACACCUUUUCCCAUACGACCACCGAAAUUAAGCAAUGUCGAACCUGGUCAGUACCUAGAUGGCUGACCACUUGGAAAUACCAUAUGCUGUAAG